rnacentral:tRNA from 1 species
UCCAUGGUAGUCCAGUGGCUAAGACUCUGCACUCCCAAAGCAGGGGUCCCAGGUUCAAUCCUUGGUCAGGGGA